AUUUUAUAUAUUUAUUUUUGAUAGGUGUUAUGGAUUUUAAUUUAUUUAUUAAGGGUAAAUGUAUUUUGUUGGGGUGAUAGUGGAAUAUAAUUAACUUCUAUUUUUAAUAAUCAUUAAUGAUUGUAUGUUUGAUCCUUUAUUAAGGAGUAUAAGAUUAAAUUACCUUAGGGAUAACAGCGUAAUUUUGUUGGAGAGUUCUUAUCGAUAAUUUGGAGUUUGCGACCUCGAUGUUGGAUUAAAGAUAGUUUUUGGUGUAGCAGUUGAAUAACUAGGUCUGUUCGACCUUUAAAUCUUUACGUGAUCUGAG
rnacentral:rRNA from 1 species